rnacentral:tRNA from 1 species
GGGGAUUGGCGCAGUGGUAGCGCGCUUCGUUCACACCGAAGAGGUCACUGGUUCGAACCCAGUAUCGCCCA